UACGGGGGGGCAAGCGUUGUUCGGAAUUAUUGGGCGUAAAGGGCUCGUAGGCGGUCCAUCACGUCGGGAGUGAAAAGCUGGGGCUUAACCCCAGUCCUGCUUCCGAUACGGGUGGACUAGAGGUAGGUAGGGGAGAACGGAAUUCCUGGUGUAGCGGUGAAAUGCGCAGAUAUCAGGAGGAACACCGGUGGCGAAGGCGGCCUGCUGGGUCUGGCUGACGCUGAGGCGCGACAGCGUGGGAGCAACAGG
rnacentral:rRNA from 1 species